GAAGCUGGCCAGACAGUCGCUGCGUGCCUUGCGGCACGGAGAGGAAAGUCCGGGCUCCAUAGGGUAGGGUGACGGCUAAUCACCGUCCGCCGUGAGGCGAGGAACAGGGCCACAGAGACGAGUCCGCCGAUGGCCCGCGCUACGGACUUCGCCGCCGCAAGGCGGCAAGGUCUCGAAAAAGUGGGUAGGGUGCGGCGACGUUCCCUCCUGCAAGGCGCGAGACUCGGCGGGGUGAAACGCGGCAACCUCCACCCGGAGCAACACCAAAUAGGCAAGCGAUGACGUGACCCGCCGAGCUUGCGGGUAGGUGGCUUGAGCCCCGGAGCAAUCCGGGGCCUAGAGGAAUGGCUGUCAGGGGCCGCAAGGCUCCCCACAGAACCCGGCUUACCGGCCAGCUUCUUUC
rnacentral:RNase_P_RNA from 2 species